UUGGAUUUUUGGCCAGCUCACAGGUGAGAGACUUGGUAACCCAGAGCUCUAUAUAAGAGACAUCCAAUCAUUGAAAAGAAAAAACCCUAAUCGGUGCGCCGUCACUCGACCAAGACCUAAUUUUAUGCACCGUCACUCUGCCGAAAUCGCAUCCUAACCUGCACACCAAAGCUCAAAGAUAUCAAAUGGGUGCUCAAAGUUUAUCCUUAGAACUUUGAGUAAUACGAGCUAAGACCCUGAUAAAAAUCACAUCGAACACAGAAAUUAGAAGAAGAGGAGGAGAUUUUGCACCGUUGCCCUGUUGAAAUUCUCAUCCUCACCUAAAAGCUUUUCUUCUUUUAGAGUUUCGUAUUGAAUCUCUGAGGAAAAAGCAAAUCUAAAACCUCAUCAGUAGAAGUCUAAACAGAGGAGCAUAUUGACAAGAAUGGGGUAGGAAAGGAAAAGAGAAAAGCCAAACCGUGAAGAGAAAGCAUACUUUGUCUGGACAAUUGGUUGCAAUCAGAACACUCGCCGGAAGAACUUGAGCGACAUCGUCAGAAGCUGGACGUUCCGAUUCUCUGAGUUGGUAAGGUUCAUAUCACUUCCCUGAUUUUUCUUUUACUUUGAGUGAUAUCACUGGAAAUUAUUCUCGAAUCGGUAGAUAUAAAUGAGUAUCUUGCUUAGGUUUGUUGGAUUUGUGUAACUCUAAUGUUGGAUUUCAAGGAAGGUAGUUUAAGGUUGGAGUUUGUUUCUGGGUAUAUGUAAGGGUUUGGGACGCGAUUACUUUCCGAAAGGUUGAGUUCUUGAACGAGAAAGAACAGAGCGUAUAUAUUCUUCAUUGUUGUUAAUUAUCAUUAACUGCAGAUUUUUUGAUUUAUGGCCAUGAAUGAGAGCCAAGAUCUCUCACUGCCCAAGAAUUGGUUGACCUUCUCAAGGCGUUGGAAACGCCGUUCCGCAUGUUUCAAGGUUGGAGAUCCAACGGAUCUUAGGUCGGUUUCUUUGACCCGGUCCAGGGUUAUGGAUAACCCGAAUUGGAUCAGCCACAUGGGCUUCCUGGGUUUUGGACCACCCCCUUGCUCCUUGUUGUUGUACGCCCUAAUGGGCUUCAGAGGCCUUCAAGGCCCAUCUGUCUUUUUAGUUAGUUUCUUUAUUUCUUUUGGUUAGCAUAGGAUUGGUUUGAAUUUAUUUGAUUUAAAACAUGAAUUUUAUUUAUUAGAAAAAACUUUAUUAUCAUAAAUAGUCUACUAUAAUUUAAUUAAUUAAUAUGUCGUAUUAUCAUCA
rnacentral:lncRNA from 1 species